rnacentral:lncRNA from 10 species
AACCAAGAUACCUUCAUAGGUGAAUGGAUGGGCUGGGGUCCCUCCAGACAAUGGAAUAUUUUUCAGUGCUAUAAAGAAAGGAACUGCCAGGCUGUGAAAAGGCAGGGAGGAGUCUUAGGUGCUGCUAGGUGAAGAAGCCCAUUGGAGAAGGCUGGAUACUGUGUGAUUCCAACUCCAUGACAUUCAGGAAAAGGCAAAACCAUGAAAACAAGAAAGAUCAGCAGCUGCCGGGGCUGGGCAGAGGGUGACUGGCAGGAGCACAGAGUGCAGGGAGGAUACUGAAUUCCUUGAAACGUUGACCUCCAAGAUGCUAACUC